rnacentral:rRNA from 2 species
GUAGCUAAAUGCGGAAGAGAUAAGUGCUGAAAGCAUCUAAGCACGAAACUUGCCCCGAGAUGAGUUCUCCCUGAGACUUUAAGUCUCCUGAAGGAACGUUGAAGACGACGACGUUGAUAGGCCGGGUGUGUAAGCGCAGCGAUGCGUUGAGCUAACCGGUACUAAUGAACCGUGAGGCUUAACCUUACAACGCCGAAG